ensembl:lncRNA
GUGUCCUACACCUGCAUUUCUCACCCCAUCACCUGUGCUGCUAGGGAGGAGCUGAGAGUAGCAGCUGUGGGGUGAGGAGUUAAAGCACAGCAGGGUGUGCAGGUCCUAGGAUAAGGGGUAGGCACUUUGUUUGCUGUUGGGAUAUGGCAUAGCAGAAGCCCUUAGAGCUGCUACAGGGAGCAGAGAGUGCUGAGACACUCAAGGAUUGGGGGGAUUAUGGCAGUCCUAUGGCCAUCCCACCUACUUCCACCAUGGAGAAGCAGCAAUCUGGGAUCCUUCCAGUAGGCUCUGUGGGAUUCCAGCUCUCGAAGCCGGCUGGAGCAAAGCUUUCCACGGCCGCAUUUCGAAUCGCUCCUGGUGCAGCAGGGUGGGCUCUGGGGCACAGCUAUGAGUAUCAGCGCUCCCACUGAUUUUUUGGAUGGGUUUUGGCUGCUCAGACCUCCUGGAGCUCAGCCCAGCAUUCUCCACGUGGCGUGGCUCCAGAAAUGGAAGCACUCCAAUGUCAGGAAUCUGCAUCACAGCACUGUGCCACUACGUGAGAAACAGCAACAAAAAACAGCUGAGGGAGAAAAAGAAGUGAAACUGGCUAGUCUGAAUUCAUGAGAAAUUCAUUCCAGGGACAGAGAUUAUAUGAAAUGGUUCCCUAUCUCAGUUAUGCUUGCAACAGCACUGAAAAAGAGCCACCCCACCGCCUCCCACGCUCGCCAUGUUAUGCCCUGCUGGCUUUUGUGGUGUGCUCUGGGGCUCCCCGAGCUGCUAAGAGGACAGUGAUGAAGAAAGCUGCAUAUCCAAGGUGCUGCUUUGGGCAUUAAAGGACAGGCUGAAGCAGGACAGGCUGAAGCAAGGCACUGUUUAUGGGUUCCUCAUAGCUUUUAUUUGCUGGGAGCAGGGAGGUAAAGGUGGCCCGGAGGAGGAAAGCACCACAAGCUCCUGUUUACAGCAGUAUCUGCUGGUUCUGCUUAGUUUGGCCCCUUCUUACAUCUUAAACUGAAUAACUGCUGCGGUUUAUUACAGUGGAAAAAAGAGAGCUUUCAAAGCUUCAAGACGAUUUUGUUUCAGAGCACUCAACAGUGUGAGUAGGUAUGAAUGUUUGGAGCAGGUUAUCCUAAUAGAGAGUGAGCAGGAAGCCACGUAUCUGCCUGUUCCUAUUUCAGAUGAGUGUCACUUUGCCCUAGUGACAGCAGGUUCACAGGAUACACCGAGCUGGAAUGCUGCACAGCGCUCAGGUCUCUGGCUGAGAGAAAUGGCAGGGUAGCAGUGUGAGUGUCCAAACCACAGCUUUUACACAAGUGAGCUAAGAUUCCCCUCCCAAAAAUAAAAUAAAACACAACAGGCUACAAAUAUAGGAUUUUAGGGUUUAAAUCUUUUUUAAUUGGUCAUUUGUUACCUCUCUGUUGGCAGAGUGCACUUGUUUAAUAUCCAAAGCCUUUUUAAAAUACAUUGUCCUUAAAUUAUGAGUGCUUGGGAACUUGCUGCUGCUGCCUCUAACAAAAGCUGAGAUUGUUAUGAAGUAACAUCACAGAAAACAAUAAGCAAACUUGGGUAUCUUGGAUCUGCUGAAAACUUGGAAGAGUUGGCAAUGUUGUGUGCCUCCUCCUGUACCCUACGAGAGGGUCAGAGAUGUGAGCUAUUGCAAGCAAAACUGAUCUAGAGAUGUAUUUCCUUAUGAAGUCUGCUUCGUUGUAAAACUUAAGCAUUAUAUGGUAAAGCUGAGUAUAGAAGAGAAUAACUGAGUGAACACUGUGCAGUUGGCUUUGCAUGAUGCUGAAAGCAAGUGUGAAACAUCACCUGAGCUGUUAGGACCUGCUGGAGCAUUCCCUCUCGUGUUGGCCAGUGACCCAUAUGGAGCAGCAUGUUGCUGCUGAAUGGUGGCAGCUGCACCCACUGCAGUUCCCAGGCCUGGCACCCAUUCUCACAGUUGAGAUGUUGGCAAGUGAGGGAGGUGACAGGGCUCAGCCCCUGCCUCCUCCUGUUCUGGCUUGUGCACCACAAUCCCAUGCUGGCUACAGUGCCCUGACAAGGCAGGAGCUCUUGCUGCGCACAACCAGAGGAAGUUCCCAAUGGGAAUCAGUCCCCACUCCUCACUGCAAGCACAGCACUGUGCACCCUUUGGGGUGACAUUUGGCAAAAACAGAAGUGGAGGCUGAAUCUGCUCUGAAAGCCACAGUGUAGUUGCAAGCUUGGUCUGGCAAGGGGAUUUCCUGCACUUGCACAUCCCAUCCUAGCACAGGAGGUCUGACUGGAGAAAGCUGUGGGAUCCCAUUCUGAUAGAGAACCACACUGUCUGUAAAGCUGCUCACCUACCUCUGCCAAAAUGAGAAUCCUGAGCCUAAGCAUUGCAGGAAGCCUCAAGAACACAGAAUAAAUCCAACCUCACAAUUCACUGGAAUUAAGAGGUGGAGCGUUUCCUACAGGUUUUAUGUCUGGUAUGAUUUAUUAUUUAAUUUAAACACAUAAUUUCCAGCAGUUUCGUUUUGCAAGCAAUCACCUGGGCUAUGUUAACCUGAUAGUGAUGUACUGCUGUCCUGGGGUGCCCUGGGAGAGAGAGAGCAAGAGCAUAGCACUCAGAGGUGUGAUCUUCCCCUGUUUAUCUUGAUGGGGUGCACACAACCUUGGCAGAGAAGCGAGUCCAAACAACUUAACCAUGUCACUGCCAGAUGCUGCUGUUGAAAGGGCUGGUGGUACAGCAGUAUGAGCUGUAUGGGCCAUGUCAUUUCUCCACUCAGAUCCUUCCAGCACCAAGGGGUGCAGGUAGUCUGGCAAGGAUUCAUGGUUAUGCCUGCUAAAGACUCCUGGAACAUCACAGAGCAGGUUACGGCCAACCCUGCUGGAGAGCAGAGACCACAGCCUUUAGUGGGACACGAGCUAGAAACUGGGCAGCUCCCUUUACAUUCAGAGCUCAUCUGGCUGGCUGUCAGCAGAGUCUUGCAGAGCACAGUGCUGAGCCUCUUGUGCCAGUUUGGAGACUCCCUUUUGCACUCAGGAGUGUGCCUGCAAAAGCCCCUGAAGAUGGCAGAUGCUACAGAGGAGUGGUCCUUUCCUCCGAUCACAGCUUGCUGCAGCACGGUGGGUGUUGCAGCAGCUCCUUUUCAUGCAAGGCCACCUGAGCAAGGUUUCUUUGGGGCCCUGGGGAUAUUUAAGCUUUAAUACAAAACUGUUGCUUAAGGCUUUUAGGAAAUUCUAAUGCCCAAAGCGGGAGGUGCGAGGCUGUUCUCAGGCUGUCACACAUCACAAGAUACAGCCCCUAUACCUCUGUGUGUCACCUUAUUCCUGUGAGCUAGGGGCAAACACCUCUCCCAACAGGAGAGGUGUCUGAAACAGCCUUUCCAUUAUGUUUAUAUUUAAAGACCUAACAGUGACUGAAGCACUUUGCAUAAUAAACGCAUCUAAAUACAGAAAUAUUUGCCUGCUCUCAGUAUAAAAGGAAGUCCUCAGAUCCUCUUCUGAAGACUGCAAGAAAGCGACAGAGUUUUCCCUCUACGGGAUAUAAAUAUGCAGUGCAAAUAGGUGGCUGCUGUCUCUGCUUACGUGUUGAUGCAUCUCUUCAGAUAGCCUGGCAGAGCUGGAUUAUUUUAGCGUCAAAUCAAAGCUCAGGAUGUGUAAAGAAGCUGAGGAAAGGUACAGUCUGUGUUGCAGCACAGGAUGGUAGCUGCAAGAAGAUUGGAAGCAGUCCUGUGAGACACGCACCAGCCACGCAUACUAAAGCUGCCAUUUAGUGCAUCGAAAAGGAUCUCGGUUCAGCAGGGCUGCUGCAGAACAGAAGCAGAUGCCUUCAGAUUCAGGUUGGGGCAGGGGAUUGCUCUCAUAGGAAGGCGUGUGAUUCAUCCUCACAUUAGCUGAAAGAAGAUACAGCUUUUGUUUCCUUUUUAGUUUCCAUUUCCUCAUGAGAGAAAAAUAAAAGGCCUGUUUACACUGGAAGAAGAACCGC